UAUAAAUAACACGUGGAUUGGACUGAUAACACCCAUUUGACCCGGCCCAUAAAAGGGAAGAGGUUUAUCUGCAUACUGCCAAAAUAGUUUUUAACAUUUUUAGGGUUUUAGACAAUCUUCACCAAUAUUUCCAGGUUCCUUCUUCACCAAUAUUUCCAGGGCAAAAAGCAGAGUACAAAGUCUAGGUUAAUUCCUUCUGUGAAGAUGGCUGGACUUCCAGGAUACAACGCCCUUGCCCCCAAGACUAAGAACUUCGUUAUGGCUGGGGGUUUGACAGGAUUUGUUUUUGGUGUGUACUACUACACUAUGAGAGCUGUUGGCGGCUCAGAUGAACUUCAAGUGGCCAUUGAUAAGUUUGAAGACGCAAAAAGCAGCAGUGAAGCUGAAGCAAGUUUGGCACCUAAACCGUGAUUGUGUCCUAUAUAUGAAGUAACACUGGAAUUAGGAAAGAAGUAUGGGAUGAUUUUGGAGCGGUAGAACCGGACUUCGAUCAUCUUAUGACUGUUGAAUAACUUGUCCAGUUCCUCAUGCUCUACGAAUAUAUAUACUUUGCUGUAAAGAUAUCAGGAUAUUGCACUCUUCUUUUAGCUUUCAUGUUGAGAUAAAUUCUCUUUCUUGAAUUUCAGUGUCUACAGUUUAUACAUUCAGCAUGUUUAUUUUAGGUUUUAUAGAAUCUCUCCAGUUAGUAUUUGUUGUUAUGUAUUUCAUAAUAUGCUCAGAGGUGCCAUUAUAAUCAAAUCCGUCAUACAUGCAUGGUUGGCAAGGAAA